rnacentral:rRNA from 1 species
UUGGAGGGCAAGUCUGGUGCCAGCAGCCGCGGUAAUUCCAGCUCCAAUAGCGUAUAUUAAAGUUGUUGCAGUUAAAAAGCUCGUAGUUGAAUUUCGGGAUUGACGUGACGGUCGUGCCUUACGGGGUAUGAACUGUCGCAGUUGAUUUCUCACCUUCUGGAGAAGCUCGAUGUCCUUAAUUGGGUGUCUUGCGGAACCAGGACCUUUACCUUGAAAAAAUUAGAGUGUUUAAAGCAGGCAUUUUGCUCGAAUACAUUAGCAUGGAAUAAUAGAAUAGGACGGCAUGGUUCUAUUUUGUUGGUUUCUAGGAUCGAUGUAAUGAUUAAUAGGGAUAGUUGGGGGCAUUAGUAUUCAAUUGUCAGAGGUGAAAUUCUUGGAUUUAUUGAAGACUAACUACUGCGAAAGCAUUUGCCAAGGAUGUUUUCAUUAAUCAAGAACGAAAGUUAGGGGAUCGAAGACGAUCAGAUACCGUCGUAGUCUUAACCAUAAACUAUGCCGACUAGGGAUCGGAUGAUGUUAAUUUUUUAAUGACUCAUUCGGCGCCUUACGGGAAAC